UUGCUCAUUUUGGCAGCACGUAUGACUAAAAUUGGAAGGAUACAGAGAUUAGCAUGGCCCCUCCAAGGAUGACAUGCAAAUUCAUGAAGCAUUCCAUAUUUCA
ensembl:snRNA U6 U6 spliceosomal RNA